rnacentral:rRNA from 1 species
UACGAAGGGGGCUAGCGUUGUUCGGAAUUACUGGGCGUAAAGCGAACGUAGGCGGUGUUCCAUGUCAGAGGUGAAAGCCUGGGGCUCAACUCCAGAAUUGCCUUUGAAACGGGGACGCUUGGUCGCAGAGAGGGUGGCGGAAUUCCUAGUGUAGAGGUGAAAUUCGUAGAUAUUAGGAAGAACACCAGUGGCGAAGGCGGCCACCUGGCUCGGUACUGACGCUCAGGUUCGAAAGCGUGGGGAGCAAACAGG